CCCAGGCGGCGCCCGCCGAGCCGCGGCCUCGGCCGAAGGGCCUGAGGGAGCGCCGCGGCCGCCCCUCACCGCCGGGGCCCCCGCGAUGUCAGCCCUCGCUGCAACAAGGAAGGGCUCGCCCGGCCCCAAGCCGGGUGGCCCCGGUGCUUCUGCACGACUCUGCCGAUAUAUUUCGCCUCUUCGGUGUUGAGCCAACUACGCCCUAGUGACCCAUCGUUCCCCACGCGGUGGCUCUCUACGUGGUAUCAAACAGCUUGUUUCUUCCAGUGUAUCCAAAUGGUCUGAUAACAACAUUUUUUGAUGAUAAUCAACCAUCUAGUAACAAGCCUGGUGCAGGUCAGAUCAUGUACAUAGUCUCUACUGGACUGGCCCUUCACCAUGAGAACAAGUCUUAUUGAUCUGGCAUUGAUGUCUUCAAGUAAGAAAAUAUCAAAAUGCUUCAAUAGUCUUCUCACUAUAGAGUGGAAAGGAUGACAAUUCAUCAUUUACUUGAUUACUUUCAAGAAAGCAAUGAAAUGGCAUUAAAAAUUGUACUACAACAACUGCUAUUGUUUUGAACUUCUGGCCAUGUGUCCUGUGACAAUACUGACAAAGCUAAUGUUAAUUUUGGAAGGUACCUUCCUGUCUACAAUUUAAUGGAUAGUGCAAGUGAAAAAAUGCUUGUACAUAACCUUCCAACUCAUUUACUGCAUAAAACAGUGAAGUCUGCAAUAGUUAAGUGUCAUUUGACUUAAGAUUAUUAACCCUUCAUUUACAAAAUUUGUCUAAGAAAAGGUUUGGAAUCAUAGGAAAGAUUUUAUUUUACCAAGCUUGGACAUGUAGAAGUUUUGAGGACUCUUUCCAGAAUAUAUUUAUCUCUAUAUUCUGCAACUAAAGGCAUCAUAAAAUGUUUUCCAGCUUUUAGAAAUAAUUUUUCUAUGUUAGGAGAAUAUCAGUGUUUGCAUCCUUUCAGGAUAGUAAAGAUUGGAUUAAUGGAGAUAAGCAAGUAUCAUAAUAAAACUUACUUUUCUUUCAUAAUGUAGUAAAAUCCUUUCAAAGUAUAACAAUCUGAUCUUGAAUGUGAAGGUAAGAUACAUGAAUUAAAGGGUAAGUUUCAAGAAAUAAUGGAUGGCAAAAUAUUGGCCAUUAAAGUAACUCCUGCAUAGAAAUAUGGGCGUUUCGUUCCACAGUAUACAUUAGCUCCCAAACAUGUAAUAAAACAGGUUCAUGUCUGUAUACAGAAUAUCUUAAACUUCCUCAGCCACAUUAAAUUUUUUAAAAAUUUAGUGAUUUUUAGAAAAUUACAAUGAAAAGUUGAAACUCAACAGAAAAGCAUAUGAUAAAGAUUAUGCUUCAGGAGAUCUGUAUUAGAAACUAAAUUCAAUGUUUCAUCUCGAAAGACCAAUUUUUCUAGCUCUUAAAACUUGUGGUUGGAUUAUGACCACAUCUAAGAUAAACGAGGUGGUUAGAAUAGUAUUUUCCUGUUGUUAACAGACUCAUAUUAUAGAAACCUGCCAAAUACCAACCCUGUUAAGGCUGAGGUUCAAAUAAAAGUUGUACAGGGAAAGAGCGGCAUGGAUUUACUGAAGAUUGUUAAAAUAUAUUAAACCAGAUCCUAACAUAACUUUAAAUAACACAAUCCAUCUCUUAAGAAUGGUGUAUUUGAGGCCAGUGUAAUGCAAACUUGCGAGAAGAUGUAAUGAAAUGCUAAAGGAAAUGUUUUUUCACUCAAAUCCCACUUCACAUCCUGACCCUUAUCUUCCAUGUGGUUAUGUUUUAUUUCCAUUCAAGAAAGGCAGUCAUCCACAUAUGAAACUGUUAAUGUUUUGACUUGCAAAUUGAAUGUGGCUUCAGCAAGCAGCACGAUCUCCCCCAGGGUGCAAGCAGGAAUAUUUCUUUUUACUUGCCAUAGAUACUUUCCUCGGUGUUUUUUUGAGUCUGCCAUUUUCACUUCUAGAGUUGUGGGUAUUGCACAGCUCAGUGUUGCUGGCUAUAUAACAAAACUUGAUAUUUGUAACUAAGUUAGACUAAUUAUUCCCAUUUAAGAUAGUUAUCUUUCCCAUUCCACUUAGGUGCCAUGGAAUGAAUAGUAUUCUGGCAAUACUUUCAAUAGAAAGGUUGAUAGUAUUUCAGUACUUUAUGUGUGAAUGAUAUUGCUGAUUAAAUAACACAAAAUUGUAUUUAAUUUGAAAUAUAAUCCCUAUUAUUUCCAAAACCCGGCAAUCAGUAGUAUACUUUUACUAAUAAAAGGUUAGUUCUAGCAGAAUGGCUAAUGGUAUUAUUAAUUAAAUGAGGUCUCACAGCAGUACUCUAAAAGUAUGUUCAUUAAAAACUGUGAAAUAGGAAUUUUUAACCGAUUCAUCCUACUUCACUGCUCAGAGCAGCCUCUUUAUAUCCCUGUACCCUUGAGUUUCCAUUGAAGGAUCAGCUACUGAUCACCUCAACAUAGAUGCUGUCAGCUUGCAGCUACUGUACUACUUUACUAAGUAAGUAAUCCUACUAAUAUAAUAAG